rnacentral:rRNA from 1 species
AGUGAACGCUGGCGGUAGGCCUAACACAUGCAAGUCGAACGGCAGCACAGAGGAGCUUGCACCUUGGGUGGCGAGUGGCGGACGGGUGAGGAAUACAUCGGAAUCUACUCUGUCGUGGGGGAUAACGUAGGGAAACUUACGCUAAUACCGCAUACGACCUACGGGUGAAAGCAGGGGACCUUCGGGCCUUGCGCGAUUGAAUGGGCCGAUGUCGGAUUAGCUAGUUGGCGGGGUAAAGGGCCACCAAGGCGACGAUCCGUAGCUGGUCUGAGAGGAUGAUCAGCCACACUGGAACUGAGACACGGUCCAGACUCCUACGGGAGGCAGCAGUGGGGAAUAUUGGACAAUGGGCGCAAGCCUGAUCCAGCCAUACCGCGUGGGUGAAGAAGGCCUUCGGGUUGUAAAGCCCUUUUGUUGGGAAAGAAAUCCAGCUGGCUAAUACCCGGUUGGGAUGACGGUACCCAAAGAAUAAGCACCGGCUAACUUCGUGCCAGCCGCCGCCGUAA